rnacentral:rRNA from 1 species
UACGUAGGGGGCAAGCGUUGUCCGGAUUUAUUGGGCGUAAAGAGCGUGUAGGCGGCCAUGUAGGUCCGUUGUGAAAACUCGAGGCUCAACCUCGAGACGCCGAUGGAAACCAUGUGGCUAGAGUCCGGAAGAGGAGAGUGGAAAUUCCCGGUGUAGCGGUGAAAUGCGCAGAUAUCGGGAGGAACACCAAUGGCGAAGGCAGCUCGCUGGGACGGUAACUGACGCUGGAGGCGCGAAAGCGUGGGGAGCAAACAGG